rnacentral:rRNA from 1 species
UACGGAGGGUGCGAGCGUUGUCCGGAAUCAUUGGGCGUAAAGGGCGCGUAGGUGGCUUCUUAAGCGUGCGGUGAAAGCCUGGGGCUCAACCCCGGGUCGGCCGUGCGAACUGGGGGGCUGGAGCACUGUAGAGGCAGGCGGAAUUCCGGGUGUAGCGGUGGAAUGCGUAGAGAUCCGGAAGAACACCGGUGGCGAAGGCGGCCUGCUGGGCGGUUGCUGACACUGAGGCGCGACAGCGUGGGGAGCAAACAGG